GAUCCCCUACGGGACGCAGCAGUGGGGAAUAUUGCACAAUGGGGGGAACCCUGAUGCAGCGACGCCGCGUGGGUGAAGGAGUACUUCGGUACGUAAAGCCCUAUCAGCAGGAAAGAAAAUGACGGUACCUGACUAAGAAGCCCCGGCUAACUACGUGCCAGCAGCCGCGGUAAUACGUAGGGGGCAAGCGUUAUCCGGAUUUACUGGGUGUAAAGGGAGCGUAGACGGCAGUGCAAGUCCGGAGUGAAAGCCCGGGGCUCAACCCUGGGACUGCUCUUGGAACUGCGCGGCUGGAGUGCAGGAGG
rnacentral:rRNA from 1 species